rnacentral:misc_RNA from 1 species
GCCACAAAAUUAUUUUUCAAAUCUGACUGCUGGGUUUUUGGACUCUACCCGUAACUACAUUUACAACGGCAAAGAAUUCCCUAGAAGUCAGAAUGAAUAACGACAGACAUUGAAAAUAUCGGGAGGAGGAAGGAUGGUCCUCCCGUGUCCAUGGUUGCGUUAAAGUAUCCGAAACGUCGGCAUGUAAAAAAUCUAAUAAACCGCGAUAAAAUCCGAAAAAGUUACAUUAUAAUGGAUGGGUUUUACAACUUUAACCAAAUAUGCGUCUGUGCGUCUGUGGCGUCAAAGCUCUCGAACGGCCUGGUGAGAGAGAUGGAGAAUAGCUGCCUGUGAGUUAGUCAAGGACAGACAAUCCUUGACCAUAGACAAGUUAACACAUAGACGCGUAUUGAAUUUGGUUCAUGUAAUCCAUGCCAUAAAACUGUAAGCGGCUAAUGUCUGUACAUAAGAGAUAUUUAGAGAAACGAAUAAAGGAAUCUCUAUAUGAGCGAUAGAAGCCAAACAACUAUGUUUAAAAUUUUUUGUUUGUUAUGUUGGUUCUGGCAUAAUGCAAAAUCUGCAGUACGAAAUUGUAAUGGGGUCUCAUAGCUGUAAUUUAACUUUAACUGCUAUAGCUUGCAUCUUAGUAGUAUACUAGAAGUUGAGUGUAAUUAUAGAAUAAAUAUUAUAGUGAAAUCGUAAGAAAAUUAUGUUGUACACACAUUUUUGCGCGAAUAUAAAAUACUUAUAAAUAGGCUUACAACAGUAUAAAAGAGGCAAAUAAGUAUAGAAAAUUAAAAAUAAUAAGUAGUGGGUACUUGAGUCUCGUUUGUCAAAAAGUAAAUGUAUUUUGUGAAUUCUGUAUGUCUGUCUGUGUAAGUUGAAAUAAUUUAAAGAUUAUCCUUUCUAUUCUGUACAAAACUAAUAUAAAAUAAACAUACAAUAAUAAAAAAA